AGCGGCGUCCCCUGCAGCCGCGGACCGAGGCAGCGGCGGCACCUGCCGGCCGAGCAAUGCCAAGUGAGUACACCUAUGUGAAACUGAGAAGUGAUUGCUCGAGGCCUUCCCUGCAAUGGUACACCCGAGCUCAAAGCAAGAUGAGAAGGCCCAGCUUGUUAUUAAAAGACAUCCUCAAAUGUACAUUGCUUGUGUUUGGAGUGUGGAUCCUUUAUAUCCUCAAGUUAAAUUAUACUACUGAAGAAUGUGACAUGAAAAAAAUGCAUUAUGUGGACCCUGACCAUGUAAAGCUCCUGAAGGUGCGGCACUCGCCUUGAGGCACUUUCUUCUGAGCUGUGAGCUAUGGGCAAGCAGUGGAGGGGGAAGAGAGCAGCUGAAGCAGAUGCCGGUUCAACUUACUUAAAGAUGUGGGACAAGCUCUGAGGAAGCCCCCAAGACAAUGAUGUCUGGUUGUGCACCAUUGAAGCAAGAACAGAAACCAUCCCA
rnacentral:lncRNA from 1 species